UACUGGGGGGGCAAGCGUUGUUCGGAUUUACUGGGCGUAAAGGGCUCGUAGGCGGCCAAUUAAGUCGGUUGUGAAAUCCCUCGGCUCAACCGGGGAACUGCGACCGAUACUGAAUGGCUUGAAGCCGGGAGAGGGAUGCGGAAUUCCAGGUGUAGCGGUGAAAUGCGUAGAUAUCUGGAGGAACACCGGUGGCGAAGGCGGCAUCCUGGACCGGUCUUGACGCUGAGGAGCGAAAGCUAGGGUAGCAAAC
rnacentral:rRNA from 1 species